AUCCCUACCACGGCUCCAAGGAAGACGAGGACUACGCGCGUGACGGAGAGCGAGGACGACUGCAAAGCCUCUCAACGUGCUGCCAGGUCCAGUGGAGUUCAGAGUCAAGUUCAGUCAUCUACCUCUGUUAAACUAUCUGGAUUUCACAAGAGAGUUAUAGCCAAUUCAAGCUACGCAGAGAUUCCUGUACUGCUGGACACAUAGCUAUUCGACGUUCGUUGAUUCAAAUUCCAAGGCGUCGUUUCAUCGACAGAUUUCUUGAGAACAGACGGGCACAUUUCGCAACUGUGAUAUCGGAUUGAGACAUGUGUUCUAGCUUGUUAUAGUAGAUACUUUGUUAGUUAUGUAUUAGAUGAAACUAAGUAAUAAUGAUUUGUGCUCUAUUUGUAUUAGUCGUGUGUCUGGUCUUAAUGGUGACUGCUUUGUAUAAAACUAUGUGACAUCUCUGUGAGCUAAUAAAUAAGUUCACCAUCAUUAGUUUUC